UUUAAUCUUCAGUCUGUUCAUUACUCAUCUUCUGUUACAGUUGUGUUUGGUUAUAGUCUAUUUAAGGAUUAAAUGUGCAGGAUUGAUUCUCAGGGUCAUUUUUGGGUCUCCAUUGGUCAGAUGUUGUCUGUGGUCUUGAUUUUUGUUUCUCUGCUCAAAGAGAGUGCUGCUGCAAGUGUAAUAGAUCCACUGUCUUUAGAGACACACAUCAUGACAGGAGACAAUGUUACUCUCUCCUGCAGUUACAGUGGUGUUGUUGACUACUUGCAGUGGUAUCGACAAUAUCCAGGAUCUCCAGCAGAGUUUCUCAUUUUUAUCACUGAGACGAGUGGCCGAUCAGAGACUUCACUCAGACUUUCAUCUGUGGCUGAUAAAGAAAAUAAACGUGUGGAUCUGAACAUCUUCUCAGCAGAGAUUAAAGACUCUGCCAUGUAUUACUGUGCCCUGGUGCCCACAGUAACAUAA